UCUGAUUGGUUCUCACAGUGUCAGAGAGCAAAUCACAGCAAGCAAUCUGCUCUGUUGCCUAGCAGCAGCCUGGGAUAGGGGAGGGACCAAGCGGUGUCACGUCUGAGGCACAGAGACAACCUCCAAUGGGUCACCAGGGAACAGCAGCAAUAAAGGAGCAGGGACAGCGCAGGUUCCAGUGUUUAACCUGAAAAAAUAGACAAUCCUUCUAUUAUUGAUGGACUAUACAUUACAUUUUGAAACCACUUAAUUUUAUGCUAUAGAUGUGUAACCAUAGAAGACCUGAAGGGCUAUGCUCCUCUAGUUGGAUAGCACUACUUUAUGUAAAAGAUGUGAAAAAUGCAGGAGGGAAAACAUCUUUCCGAUUUUAUUACUGCCAAGAUGGCACUGAAGGUUUUGAGCCGACACACACAAUCAAUCUGCAGUGAAUCUCAUCAGUUUACAGAACCCAACAAACCAGCUGCUUAGUAAAUUUUGUCCAUAUACUUACAGUAAUUCUCAAUGUCUAUUCUGUCGCGGCAUAAAAAUAAUAAUAAAUAUUAUACUUGA